rnacentral:lncRNA from 1 species
UCGAGCUAAUACCGAUGGGAUAAAUCUGUCGCAACGCACUCUGCACCACAGCUUGCUUCGAAAUUUCGGUCAGCGUUGCAGUCGCAAUGCAUCGUGCGAGCCUCCACUGAUAUGCAAGACAUACGGGACCAAAUGCACAUGUUUAUUUCCACAGAAUUUUAGUGCACGCUGCUCAAACUAAUACCGAUGGGAUAAAUCUGUCGCAACGCACUCUGCACCACAGCUUGAACCCGAAGACAAGUAUGAAGAAAUAUAAAAAAAACAAAGAAAAAGUGUCAAUGAAGUCUUCGGAAAAAUAGUUUAUGAUGGUAAUUUAUAACUGCGAUGUUCAUUUUGAAGGGGACAGCUUCUGCCUAAUCGUGAGGCACAAACCAAUAAAGUGUC